rnacentral:rRNA from 14 species
GUGUAACAACUCACCUGCCGAAUGAACUAGCCCUGAAAAUGGAUGGCGCUCAAGCGUACUACCAAUACCUCGCCGCUAGGGUAGAAACGAUGCCCUAGCGAGUAGGCAGGCGUGGAGGCCCGUGACGAAGCCUUGGGGGUGACCCCGGGUAGAACGGCCUCUAGUGCAGAUCUUGGUGGUAGUAGCAAAUACUCAAAUGAGAACUUUGAGGACUGAAGUGGGGAAAGGUUCCGUGUGAACAGCAGUUGGACACGGGUUAGUCGAUCCUAAGCCAUAGGGAAACUCCGUUUUAAAGUGCGCUCUCGGGCGCCGCCUGGCGAAAGGGAAACCGGUUAAUAUUCCGGUACCUCGAUGUGGAUUAUCCGCGGCAACGCAACUGAAGGUGGAGACGUCGGCGGGGGCCCC